GACGAACGCUGGCGGCGUGCUUAACACAUGCAAGUCGAACGAUGAAGCCUAGCUUGCUAGGUGGAUUAGUGGCGAACGGGUGAGUAAUACGUGAGUGACCUACCUUUGACUCUGGGAUAAGCCUGGGAAACUGGGUCUAAUACCGGAUACGACCAAUCUCCGCAUGGGGUGUUGGUGGAAAGCGUUAUGGAGUGGUUUUAGAUGGGCUCACGGCCUAUCAGCUUGUUGGUGAGGUAAUGGCUUACCAAGGCGACGACGGGUAGCCGGCCUGAGAGGGUGACCGGCCACACUGGGACUGAGACACGGCCCAGACUCCUACGGGAGGCAGCAGUGGGGAAUAUUGCACAAUGGGCGCAAGCCUGAUGCAGCGACGCCGCGUGAGGGAUGACGGCCUUCGGGUUGUAAACCUCUGUU
rnacentral:rRNA from 1 species